CAAGCAUGUCAAGGCUUGGAGCAACGUGCUUUGCAAGGCAGAUGAAGAACAGGGACAGGUUUAAAGGAAAGCAUUAGUAAAUCCCAGCCAAGUGCUUUUGAAGUGGUCUGGAGAGAAGAGGAUGCUUGAACACAGCCUGAACCUUCCAAGCAGGGAGAGAAGGAAGGAUUUGGACCAUCUCUUUUCCCACCACUGGUUGAUAAUGCUUUCUGCUAAUGAAGAUUAAUGUGACAAGGGCAAGGGUUUUAUUUAAUAAGCAUUUAUUUCUUGUAUUAUUUUGGUAUGUUCUUCCUUGAAGAUUCAACUAGAAAGCAGAGUUCCUAUUGGGAUUACAUUGUGAGAACCAAAGACCAGAAAGGCUCCAGACUGGUGCCAUGAUCACUCCGUGAGGUCCUGCAGCACAAAUAAAAUGAACUUUUGAUGGAAAUAGCGUGAUACCAGUGACCAACUGCCAAACAGAGGAGAGCAGAGAAAUAGGCCUGGGCCUGGCUGUUAACCUGUCAUACCGAAGUCCUGAAUACGUCAGGUAGAAGCCUUGCUGGUCUCUAAAAAGCACAGAGAGGAAAGGGAAAAAGUUCUCUCAGGUUCUGGGAUGUAAAAACUGGAUUUUUAGGAGCUGCCUGCUAAACUAUUGGUUGGUAUUAGGGGGGUUGAUUCAACCAGAGUCUCAUGAGGGUCUUGCUCCAUGGACGAAAAUCAUCUCAGCAAGAACUACAUUAUCUCUGUUUGACUUGGUGGCAAAACAGCUUCAUCCACUGGAAACAGGGGGGUGUAAAGAACGUCAUUCGUUGUCAUUGCAGCUUACAGGGAACCCUGGAAGAGUAACUCUUUCCUCUGUGAAACGAGCCUGUAUUCUUUGGAGAAGAAUGGGGAAGGAAAGUCUCAAAUAAAUGGAUGUAAUUGCCUUCAUUAAAAGCUGACUGAACAGACUUUAUCCUGUGGGGUCUACUCUCUCUCUCUGAGUCUGGCCCUCUGAACUGAGAUGCAAGGAGAGAUAUCAACAUCAUGUCUUCAGAGGAUGAAUAACUUCCCAAGAAGCUUACACUACAUUAAGACCCAUCUUCACAAUGAACAUUCCUAGGAGAAGAGGAUUUCAAGCAUACUCAUUAUCCAAGGGAUACAUGAACAAGAAGUCUGCAAGAAUUCUCUUCAAGCAUAUACUCCAAAUAUAACCUGCAAAGGUGGAACAGAGCUUUUCCCUUCCAAGAGCUUGUCUGAA
rnacentral:lncRNA from 1 species